ACUUUUAACAACGGAUCUCUUGGCUCUCGCAUCGAUGAAGAACGCAGCGAAAUGCGAUAAGUAAUGUGAAUUGCAGAUUUCAGUGAAUCAUCGAAUCUUUGAACGCACCUUGCGCCCUUUGGUAUUCCGAAGGGCAUGCCUGUUUGAGUGUCAUUA
rnacentral:rRNA from 1 species